rnacentral:rRNA from 1 species
AUUGAACGCUGGCGGCAUGCCUUACACAUGCAAGUCGAACGGCAGCGGGCCUUCGGGUGCCGGCGAGUGGCGAACGGGUGAGUAAUGCAUCGGAACGUGCCAUUGAGUGGGGGGAUAACGUAGCGAAAGUUACGCUAAUACCGCAUAUUCUGUGAGCAGGAAAGCAGGGGACCGCAAGGCCUUGCGCUCUUUGAGCGGCCGAUGUCAGAUUAGCUAGUUGGUGAGGUAAAGGCUUACCAAGGCGACGAUCUGUAGCGGGUCUGAGAGGAUGAUCCGCCACACUGGAACUGAGACACGGUCCAGACUCCUACGGGAGGCAGCAGUGGGGAAUUUUGGACAAUGGGGGCAACCCUGAUCCAGCCAUGCCGCGUGAGUGAAGAAGGCCUUCGGGUUGUAAGCUCUUUCGGCCGGGAAGAAUCGUAUGGGUUAAUACCCUGUGCGGAUGACGGUACCGGCAUAAGAAGCACCGGCUAACUACGUAGCCAGCACG